rnacentral:rRNA from 1 species
CGGGACGGGUGAGUAAUGUCUGGGGAAAUGCCCGAUGGAGGGGGAUAACUACUGGAAACGGUAGCUAAUACCGCAUAACGUCGCAAGACCAAAGAGGGGGACCUUAGGGCCUCUUGCCAUCGGAUGUGCCCAGAUGGGAUUAGCUAGUAGGUGGGGUAAUGGCUCACCUAGGCGACGAUCCCUAGCUGGUCUGAGAGGAUGACCAGCCACACUGGAACUGAGACACGGUCCAG